AGGGUUUCCAGGACUGAGGCACUAUGUAAUCUCAGCUCUUACACCCCUUGACAUAUCCAGGCUGUGAAAUAAAUGCUCUCUGAAUACAGUGAGGGAAAUCUUGCUCUUCUCCACAGCCCUCUUUACCUGCCCUGUUUCUUUACCUGUCCUAUUAUUAUUUUGUGGCUUUCUGUAUUCCAAAGGUAUCUGUCUCUGGACAGAGACCUGCUGCCUGCCCCUCUGUUGCCUCUACAGCGUCUAACCAUGGCCAGUUGUCAUUCCUGCCCCUUCCCCACUGUUGAUUGCAAUUUUCACAUCAUGUAGUUCGAUCCCCUAUCUUUGUCAGAAAUCUUAUUUGUCCUUGAACGUGUGCAAUAUGCAUAAAAAUGAAUUUAUUAUCAAAGUAACAUAUAAAAGUCCUUGAAAUUGUUAUUUUUGAAGAUGUUGUUAAACUUACACACUGUGUUAGUUACAGCAUUCUCCUUUUAUUAAACAGAAUGAAGGAGCUACUCUUGUUGAGAAGAAAAGAGAACGGCAAAGAAAAGUGUCAGAAGUUUACAAGAGCAGGAAGAGAUAAAUUAAACCAAAUCCUGUGUAAGCUGGUUUGAGUUCAGCAUUUCGCAAUGGAUGUGGUUAACUGAGCUGUAUUAUUGCCAUGCACAACAUCGAGCCACAUGAGAGUGAGAAAUAGAGGACGGAAAGGAAAAGAAUGUGGUGUAUGGGCUCUGUAAAUUCCACCAGUGCCCUUAAAUUUCACAAACAGAGUGAGGUUCCAGAGUGCCCUGCAGCAAACUUGGAUGAGAGAACAGUUAUUUGCUGAACCUUUUCUAAAUGGGAGACUCUUCACCUAAGGACAGAGUUUGCCUUUCAGGCAAAAGCCUCUGUAAUUUGUAAUUUGUCCAUGCUGGUAAAGACUCGAGGAAUUCUGGUGGAAUUGUGUGUAAGUAUUUGUUCUGGUGAAUAAGUUAUCUUCUUCACUUAUUCAAGUGAAGCCAGUGAAGAUUUUGCCAGAAAACUUCAAUCCAAGCAUUAAAAUCCCUUUUUAAUGCCAAAAGGUAGCAAACUAAAACCAAGUUGUUUUCUGUCUCUAGCCAUUAGUGAUUCCUUUAGGUCAGUGUUGAAGGUGGCUGGACUGAAAAUGUGCUUUUCACAUUAUUCACUGCAGUCAAACAGUUGUUUUAAGGAUAAACCUCAUGCUACAGCUAAAAAUCCCUGCUACAGCUGGGAGUGAGAGUUACAUUAUUAAAGGGCACAUGUGAGGAGUGUAAAUACAUGGGGAAAAUAUGUACUCGUAUCACUGAAUCAUGGAAUCAAGUAUUUGUCAUGCACAGCUUGAAAUAACAAAGAACCCAAAACUUCUGAAGGAAGAAGUGUAGUUUUGCUGGAUGAUUUCUGUAUUAUGCCAGUCAUUUCACAGCAUGCUGCAGCUCAAAGCUAGUGCCUGAAAUGUGGCUCUGGGAUAACACAUCCCAACAGCUCUUUGGUCCAGCUACUGAAACAAGGGAAAAACAGUUUCCCAGUUAUCAGGCGAUGUGCUGCUCUAUAACCAGGUCAGCAGGACAUUCCCAGUCUCAUUUC